GCCUUGGUGGUGUAGUGAAAGUAGCACGCGUCCGCGGUAUGAAUGAAGCGCGGGUUCAAUUCCCGCGUGAGGCA